rnacentral:sRNA from 1 species
CCCUAGCCCUGAUGGGAGGGAAAAUCCUUUUAUUUUUUUCUUUAAAAAAUAAAAGAUUGGAACGGAUAGCUGGAAAUUGC